GACCACGUAGCUCAGUUGGCAGAGCAUUGGGGUGGUAUUCCAAAGGUCGUAGGUUCGAUUCCCACCGUGGCCA
rnacentral:tRNA from 1 species